GGCCAGACUCCUACGGGAGGCAGCAGUAGGGAAUUUUGCGCAAUGGGGGAAACCCUGACGCAGCAACGCCGCGUGAUUGAUGAAGCCCUUCGGGGUGUAAAGAUCUGUCAGUGGGGACGAAACUUGACGGUACCCACAGAGGAAGCAUCGGCUAACUCCGUGCCAGCAGCCGCGGUAAUACGGGGGAUGCAAGCGUUGUCCGGAAUCAUUGGGCGUAAAGAGUUCGUAGGUGGCACGUUAAGUCUGGUGUUAAAUGCAGAGGCUCAACCUCUGUUCGGCACUGGAUACUGGCGAGCUUGAAUGCGGUAGAGGUAAAGGGAAUUCCUGGUGUAGCGGUGAAAUGCUUAGAUAUCACGAAGAACUCCGAUUGCGAAGGCAGCUUACUAAACUGCCACUGACAUUGAUGCUCGAAAGUGUGGGUAUCAAACAGGAUUAGAUACCCGAGUAAUU
rnacentral:rRNA from 1 species